UACGUAGGGGGCAAGCGUUGUCCGGAUUCAUUGGGCGUAAAGAGCGUGUAGGCGGCCAGGUAGGUCGGUUGUGAAAAUUGGAGGCUCAACCUUCAGAGGUCGACCGAAACCAUCUGGCUAGAGUCCGGGAGAGGAGAGUGGAAUUCCUGGUGUAGCGGUGAAAUGCGCAGAUAUCAGGAAGAACACCCGUGGCGAAAGCGGCUCUCUGGAACGGUACUGACGCUGAGACGCGAAAGCGUGGGGAGCGAACAGG
rnacentral:rRNA from 1 species